rnacentral:tRNA from 1 species
UCCGGGAUCGUCCAAUCGGCAGGACGCUGGUCUCUGAAGCCAGAAAUACAGGUUCGAGCCCUGUGCCCGGAA